rnacentral:rRNA from 1 species
AUUGAACGCUGGCGGCAGGCCUAACACAUGCAAGUCGAACGGUAACAGGAAGCAGCUUGCUGCUUCGCUGACGAGUGGCGGACGGGUGAGUAAUGUCUGGGAAGCUGCCUGAUGGAGGGGGAUAACUACUGGAAACGGUAGCUAAUACCGCAUAAUGUCGCAAGACCAAAGAGGGGGACCUUCGGGCCUCUUGCCAUCGGAUGUGCCCAGAUGGGAUUAGCUUGUUGGUGGGGUAACGGCUCACCAAGGCGACGAUCCCUAGCUGGUCUGAGGGGAUGACCAGCCACACUGGAACUGAGACACGGUCCAGACUCCUACGGGAGGCAGCAGUGGGGAAUAUUGCACAAUGGGCGCAAGCCUGAUGCAGCCAUGCCGCGUGUAUGAAGAAGGCCUUCGGGUUGUAAAGUACUUUCAGCGGGGAGGAAGGGAGUAAAGUUAAUACCUUGGCUCAUUGACGUUACCCGCAGAAGAAGCACCGGCUAACUCCGUG